GGAAAUGGGAUUCACAUGCUUGAGAGGGUGGAUUGCCUAUUCUGACAGCGUGGACCAGAGAUACUGAGAUGGAGAGACAAACUGGAGUUGAUUGCAAAAUGGAACAAUGGAAAAGGACAAACAUGAAAAGCCCUGGGAGCCAUCCAUGCAGAGGAGGAAUUAUAACUUGCACCUGAUGCUCAUGCUUAAAACAGAAUCCAGGAAAGGACCGGGAAACUUCAGGUCAUGAAAAGAUCCCCACCAUAGUGGCUGUCAUACAUUCUUCAUGGAAGUCCAGUAAAUUUUCCUGAUGCUGCUGUCCUCUUCUUCACACCAAUAGGAAACCCC
rnacentral:lncRNA from 1 species